rnacentral:rRNA from 1 species
AUACGUAGGGUGCGAGCGUUAAUCGGAAUUACUGGGCGUAAAGCGUGCGUAGGUGGUCUGUUAAGUCAGGUGUGAAAGCCCUGGGCUCAACCUAGGAACUGCAUUUGAUACUGGCAGACUAGAGUGUGGUAGAGGGUAGUGGAAUUCCCGGUGUAGCGGUGAAAUGCGUAGAUAUCGGGAGGAACAUCAGUGGCGAAGGCGGCUACCUGGACCAACACUGACACUGAGGUACGAAAGCGUGGGGAGCAAACAGGAUUAGAAACCCCAGUAGUCC